rnacentral:rRNA from 1 species
UACGGAGGGUGCAAGCGUUGUUCGGAUUUACUGGGCGUAAAGGGCGCGUAGGCGGCCUCCGCAAGUCAGUUGUGAAAUCUCCGAGCUUAACUCGGAAAGGUCAACUGAUACUGCGGGGCUAGAGUGCGGAAGGGGCAACUGGAAUUCUUGGUGUAGCGGUGAAAUGCGCAGAUAUCAGGAAGAACACCUAUGGCGAAGGCAGCUCUCUGGGACGGUACUGACGCUGAGACGCGAAAGCGUGGGGAGCGAACAGG